rfam:Triticum aestivum genome assembly, contig: Triticum_aestivum_CS42_TGACv1_scaffold_160767_2DL
CAACUACUCCCUCCGUCCCAAAAUUCUUGUCUUUAGAUUUGUCUAGAUACGAAUGUAUCUAACACUAAAACGUAACUAGAUACAUCCGUAUUUAGACAAAUCUAAUACAAGACUUUUGGGAUGGAGGGAUA